CGUAAAGAACUUGCCUCACAGCUAGGGACAACAUUUAGAAAUGAAUGCUAAUACCUGAUAUUAUGAUUUUAAGGCAUCUUAGAAUUAUGAAAGCUAUAAGCACUGUGAGAGAGCUUUGCGUCCCAUUAGCUAGUUGGAGAGGUAACAGCUCACCAAGGCGAUGAUGGGUAGCCGGCCUGAGAGGGUGAACGGCCACAAGGGGACUGAGACACGGCCCUU
rnacentral:rRNA from 2 species